AGUGAACGCUGGCGGUAGGCCUAACACAUGCAAGUCGAACGGCAGCGCAGUAAGAGCUUGCUCUUACGGGUGGCGAGUGGCGGACGGGUGAGGAAUACAUCGGAAUCUACUUUUUCGUGGGGGAUAACGUAGGUAAACUUACGCUAAUACCGCAUACGACCUACGGGUGAAAGCAGGGGAUCUUCGGACCUUGCGCGAUUGAAUGAGCCGAUGUCGGAUUAGCUAGUUGGCGGGGUAAAGGCCCACCAAGGCGACGAUCCGUAGCUGGUCUGAGAGGAUGAUCAGCCACACUGGAACUGAGACACGGUCCAGACUCCUACGGGAGGCAGCAGUGGGGAAUAUUGGACAAUGGGCGCAAGCCUGAUCCAGCCAUACCGCGUGGGUGAAGAAGGCCUUCGGGUUGUAAAGCCCUUUUGUUGGGAAAGAAAAGCAGCAGGUUAAUACCCCGCUGUUCUGACGGUACCCAAAGAAUAAGCACCGGCUAACUUCGUG
rnacentral:rRNA from 1 species